AGAGUUUGAUCAUGGCUCAGAACGAACGCUGGCGGCGUGGAUAAGACAUGCAAGUCGAGCGCUGAUUCCGGGGUAGCAAUAUUCCGGGGUCGGAGCGGCGCAAGGGUGCGUAACACGUGGGCAAUCUGCCGUGAAGUUUGGGAUAACUUGCUGAAAGGCGAGCUAAUACCGGAUGUGACCGCUGGGAGGCAUCUCCUGGUGGUUAAAGUUGGGGACCGCAAGGCCUGACGCUUCAUGAUGAACCCGCGGCCUAUCAGCUAGUUGGUGAGGUAACGGCCCACCAAGGCUAAGACGGGUAGCUGGUCUGAGAGGACGACCAGCCACACUGGAACUGAGACACGGUCCAGACACCUACGGGUGGCAGCAGUCGAGAAUUUUUCACAAUGGGCGCAAGCCUGAUGGAGCGACGCCGCGUGGGGGAUGAAUGGCUUCGGCCCGUAAACCCCUGUCAUUCGCGAUCAACCCUUAUUAUUUAAAAGAUGAUAAGCUGAUAGUAGCGGAAGAGGAAGGGACGGCUAACUCUGUGCCAGCAGCCGCGGUAAUACAGAGGUCCCGAGCGUUGUUCGGAUUCACUGGGCGUAAAGGGUGCGUAGGUGGUGAGGUAAGUCGGAUGUGAAAGCUCGGAGCUCAACUCCGAAAUGGCAUUGGAAACUACCUUGCUCGAGGGUUGGAGGGGGGACUGGAAUUCUCGGUGUAGCAGUGAAAUGCGUAGAUAUCGAGAGGAACACCAGUGGCGAAGGCGAGUCCCUGGACAACUCCUGACACUGAGGCACGAAAGCUAGGGGAGCAAACAGGAUUAGAUACCCUAGUAGUCC
rnacentral:rRNA from 1 species